rnacentral:rRNA from 1 species
GACGAACGCUGGCGGCGUGCUUAACACAUGCAAGUCGAACGGAAAGGCCCUGCUUUUGUGGGGUGCUCGAGUGGCGAACGGGUGAGUAACACGUGAGUAACCUGCCCUUGACUUUGGGAUAACUUCAGGAAACUGGGGCUAAUACCGGAUAGGAGCUCCUGCUGCAUGGUGGGGGUUGGAAAGUUUCGGCGGUUGGGGAUGGACUCGCGGCUUAUCAGCUUGUUGGUGGGGUAGUGGCUUACCAAGGCUUUGACGGGUAGCCGGCCUGAGAGGGUGACCGGCCACAUUGGGGCUGAGAUACGGCCCAGACUCCUACGGGAGGCAGCAGUGGGGAAUAUUGCACAAUGGGCGGAAGCCUGAUGCAGCAACGCCGCGUGCGGGAUGACGGCCUUCGGGUUGUAAACCGCUUUCGCCUGCGACGAAGCGUGAGUGACGGUAAUGGGUAAAGAAGCACCGGCUAACUACGUG